CUGUGGGAUUACAUAUGCAUAUGGUGUUAAUUCUAUAAACAUGUAAGUGUCAACUCACAAAGUUAUCAGGUUAAAUUAGCUUUAUCAAUGAAUAAAGAUGUUGUUGCACAGCUAAUAAUGUCAUCUCGUGGCUUGACCACAGUAUCUAGCAGUAUCUAGAAAAAUUUAUAAUAUUUGGAUUCCUGCUUCCGUAGGAGUGACAAGUUUAGUUAUGCAAUAACAUUAACAGCGAACUAUAAUACAAAUCUAUUUUUUUAAAAGUUUGUAU
rnacentral:misc_RNA from 1 species